rnacentral:rRNA from 2 species
CUCAGGAUGAACGCUGGCGGCGUGCCUAAUACAUGCAAGUCGAGCGAACUGAUUAGAAGCUUGCUUCUAUGACGUUAGCGGCGGACGGGUGAGUAACACGUGGGCAACCUGCCUGUAAGACUGGGAUAACUUCGGGAAACCGAAGCUAAUACCGGAUAGGAUCUUCUCCUUCAUGGGAGAUGAUUGAAAGAUGGUUUCGGCUAUCACUUACAGAUGGGCCCGCGGUGCAUUAGCUAGUUGGUGAGGUAACGGCUCACCAAGGCAACGAUGCAUAGCCGACCUGAGAGGGUGAUCGGCCACACUGGGACUGAGACACGGCCCAGACUCCUACGGGAGGCAGCAGUAGGGAAUCUUCCGCAAUGGACGAAAGUCUGACGGAGCAACGCCGCGUGAGUGAUGAAGGCUUUCGGGUCGUAAAACUCUGUUGUUAGGGAAGAACAAGUACAAGAGUAACUGCUUGUACCUUGACGGUACCUAACCAGAAAGCCACGGCUAACUACGUGCCAGCAGCCGCGGUAAUACGUAGGUGGCAAGCGUUAUCCGGAAUUAUUGGGCGUAAAGCGCGCGCAGGCGGUUUCUUAAGUCUGAUGUGAAAGCCCACGGCUCAACCGUGGAGGGUCAUUGGAAACUGGGGAACUUGAGUGCAGAAGAGAAAAGCGGAAUUCCACGUGUAGCGGUGAAAUGCGUAGAGAUGUGGAGGAACACCAGUGGCGAAGGCGGCUUUUUGGUCUGUAACUGACGCUGAGCGCGAAAGCGUGGGGAGCAAACAGGAUUAA